rnacentral:rRNA from 1 species
CCCUUAGAUGUUCUGGGCCGCACGCGUGCUACAAUGGCAAAAUCAACGAGUAUACCUUUGUCGACAGACAUGGGAAAUCUUUUCAGUUCUUGCCGUGAUGGGGCUAGACCCUUGUAAUUGUUGGUCUCCAACGAGGAAUUCCUAGUAAACGCAAGUCAUUAUCUUGCAUUGAUUACGUCCCUGCCCUUUGUACACACCGCCCGUCGCUACUACCGAUUGAAUGGUUUAGUGAGGACUCCUGAUUGGCGCCGCCGCCCCGGCAACGGAGCAGCGGACUGCCGAAAAGUUGUUCAAACUUGAUCAUUUAGAGGAAGUAAAAGUCGUAACA